rnacentral:rRNA from 1 species
UACGUAGGGUGCAAGCGUUGUCCGGAAUUAUUGGGCGUAAAGAGCUCGUAGGCGGCUUGUCGCGUCGGCUGUGAAAACCCGCGGCUCAACCGCGGGCCUGCAUUCGAUACGGGCAGGCUAGAGUUCGGUAGGGGAGACUGGAAUUCCUGGUGUAGCGGUGAAAUGCGCAGAUAUCAGGAGGAACACCGAUGGCGAAGGCAGGUCUCUGGGCCGAUACUGACGCUGAGGAGCGAAAGCGUGGGGAGCGAACAGG